rnacentral:rRNA from 1 species
GAUGAACGCUAGCGACAGGCCUAACACAUGCAAGUCGAGGGGCAGCACAUGAGUAGCAAUACGAUGGUGGCGACCGGCGCACGGGUGAGUAACACGUAUGCAACCUGCCUUCUACUAUGGGAUAACCCGUUGAAAGACGGACUAAUACCGUAUAAUACAGGGGCUCCGCAUGGAGAUAUUUGUUAAAGAUUUAUUGGUAGAAGAUGGGAAUGCAUAUGAUUAGAUAGUUGGUGAGGUAACGGCUCACCAAGUCAACGAUCAUUAGGGGUUCUGAGAGGAAGGUCCCCCACACUGGUACUGAGACACGGACCAGACUCCUACGGGAGGCAGCAGUGAGGAAUAUUGGUCAAUGGACGAGAGUCUGAACCAGCCAAGUCGCGUGAAGGAAGACGGUUCUAUGAAUUGUAAACUUCUUUUGUGCAGGAAUAAAGUGGGUUACGUGUAACCUUUUGUAUGUACUGUACGAAUAAGGAUCGGCUAACUCCGUGCCAGCAGCCGCGGUAACAC